UGGGCCGACUAGCAAGAACACCCGGAAACUGCAGAAGGGCCGACCGUGACGGUCCCAGAGGGACGACUCUGCGGUGCGCGGUUCUGGUCCGCGCUUCCUGCUCAGUGUCCAAGUUGCCGCGCGCUGAUAGGAGUGCGCUGUAGCUCUCAGAAACAUGGGCCAGAAAAGACGUUGAGGACCUUUGCACGGUGCUAGGAGCCUUCAGGCUUAAAUACGAUGUGUUUGUAUUAUUGGGGCCCGGAGACAAUGUACAGGAAUACAUAGGUCCAACCCUAAGUCCAUAAGCAGUGACUCGCUUUAUGAAAUAGGUGGAUUCUAACAAAGGUCGUAUAGUUUUAAAGCUAGAACUGAGUUCAUUAUCUUCUCCAGUUCCAUCCCGCCUCUUCCUUCAGUAAAUGCACCAGCAUUGAAGGUGAACGCUCAGAAGUUUCCUUUGGUAGCCCUCCGUGGUAACUUCCUGUUUGGCUGUUUGCCCUUCUGAACAUUGAGCUCCUUGAGAGCUGGGACUGUGACCUCCUUCUGUAUCAGGAGAAUCUACCCAGUGCCAGGAGGAAUACGCCUACUGUGGAAGUGACAUGGAACUAGAAGGCAGCAUGGUUUCUCCACCAGUUCAGGUGGGAGCAUCACUGACCUAUUCUCCCCACCUUUUAUGGAACUGACAGUCACAAGUGAGAUCUCUCCUGUGAGUACAGCAAUUCUUCCACAGUAAUUGAAAUGCAAAGAGAAGAGGUGUCAUCUGGAAGAAUAAGCCAUCUGACUGCAGAAAAAGGCAAAAGGGAAAUAUACAGGGGUGACCCUACUGUCAUGGUUGGUUGGCUUACAGUGGGGAAGAAAUCAGGACUGCAUGAUGGAUCCACUUGAAGCCAUUAAGAAUGACUGGGUCCUACUAUUCUAGCCUUGAGCCUGCAGUGCAAGCCCAGAGAUGAGAAAAAGGAAGAAAAAGAAAUAAAAUAUAUUUUUAAAAUGAUAAUAUUCCUGUUCUCUGCUCACCCUGGAGGCUUAUUUUGAAAAUCACAGUGAUUUAACUUGUUAGCAGUUUAAUUCACUUUUAAAAGAUUAACCAGACUAAUUAUUCAUCAAAUUUCACCAUCUUUGUCAGCCUCAAUAAGGAUCCUUUGUUACGGUGAUUAAUGUGUUUUAAUUGUAGCUUCUCUCAGAGCAAUAAUUCGAUCGCACAGUAUUUGCCGAAUCUAUGGAAAUCUUGGAAAUGCUUUGACAGGUGAGCUAUUCUUGAGAAAUGAAAGUAAAGGAAUAUAUGUAACUAACAAAAGGUGUUUUAUAGCGUAUCAUUAAUAUGGAUUUUCCUUUCUGACAGACCUUACUGUAUUUCUGUCCAUGAAUCUGCUUACUGUACAUGUCUAUUUGCCAUCCAAGAACUAUCAGGAGACUAAACUUUCUCCAAUUGAUGCCCUUAAACAUAUGUUCAUCAUAGUAGUAACCUCAGAAAUACAGAGCCACAUGGAAACUUAAUUGACUGGCCAGUGUCCAUAAAUAGCCAUCCAAUUAAGAGCCUGGAUUCUGUGUUGAUCACUCUAUUGCCUACCCAAGGCAUCAUCUUCAUUCAUUUAACUGAUGGCUACUGUCCAAGUUUAGUAUUUUUACAGCAUCAAAAAGGGACCUGUAGAACCUGGUAGAGAGACAAAUUGUAUGUGGCAUAUACUAAUUUUGAAGUUUAAAUGUAUUUUAAUGGUAUUAUUUUUUAAAGGACAGCUGUCUUAAGACCUUUGGUGUUAGACAGAUCUGGAGUUGAUUGUUGGCUCUGCCUCUUAUUAGCUAUGAGAACUUGGGUAAAUUAGCAGUAUCUAGCCUCCCUGAACCUCGGUUUCCUCAUCUCUAAAAUAGGUAUAAUCAUACCCACCUCAUAGAGGAUUAAAAUUCAGUAUUACAUGUAAGACCUAGUAUACUGCCUGGAGUGUAGGAAUAAAUUACUUUUAAUUUUAAAAAAUAUUUUUUAAAAAGCUAUAAGCCUUUCUAGUUUAAGAAAAUCACAUAUACACGAGCAUCUCUGGUUCUCACAAUAACCCUGAGACAAGUAGGAAAGGUCUGCUGCUGUUUUUCACAGAUGAGAAAACUGGGCACAAGGAGAUGCAGAAUCUAGGUAAAUAUGUCAUUUAUGUUCAUGAACCAACUACUCAAUCAAGUGCAAAGGUUCUCUAACACCCACAGAUGCUGAUACCUAGUCCAGUGUUUCUUCAGCUGCAACCAAAGAAGCACCAAGGGCUCUGAAUUAGUAAAGUGAUGAGAACAGAAUAGCUAAUUCAUUAUUUGUUGACCAGUAUUAGCCCCUUUGUUGGGAUCUAUACAUCAGUAAUAGCAAACAGUGCCAGGCAUUAGCUCAUUUAAUUCAUAUACCCAUAAAAGGAAGUACAUAUCACUCUUUUUACAGCUGGGGGACACUGAGACUUGGAGAUACUAAAUAACUUGCUUGACAGACAAGGUCUGUCCAACUACAGUGUCUUUGUCUUAACCAUAUACUAUUCUGCCUUUUGCCCAUCUCACUUUAUAAAAGACUGUUUAAAAAAGGGAGCGUUUUUAGACCUGUGAGGUCUGUAUAUAGUAACCAAUUACCAUACUUUAAAUUACUGUCCUAGUGGUUUGGGUACCAUGACUCAAAAUUUUCUUUAAGCUUCUAAACCAAAGGUUGGGAAUACUGUUGUUCCUUCAGUUGAGGAAUAGCAUUGGCUGUGAAAAAGAUUUAUAUGUUCAAAUAUUAGCAGGUAAAUUAUUCUUUGGGUAUUCAUAAUACAUGGUUGUAUAGUGAAGGUUCUGAGAAAUACUAUGGUUUUAAAAAUUGUUUUUCUGUUAAACCUGAUUCCAAAACCUCUUUGACCACAGAACCCUUCUUUUUAGGUACAAUCACUAAGAACUCAUGGCAAGCCAUUUAGGUUCAUUUAAGUAGUAAUCAUGGCCAAGUUUAAGGAGUACUUAAUAUAUCCCAAACACUGAUCUCAGAAAUUCACAUGCAUUCAUUCAUGCUAUAGUACUCCCUUUUUUUUGGUAUUAUUAAUGUACAAUUACAUGAGCAA